rnacentral:rRNA from 1 species
CCUACGGGUGGCAGCAGUGGGGAAUAUUGCGCAAUGGGCGAAAGCCUGACGCAGCGACGCCGCGUGAGGGAUGAAGGUCUUCGGAGCGUAAACCUCUGUCAGGAGGGAAGAAGUGGUUAUAUGCGAAUAGUGUAUGACUUUGACGGUACCUCCAAAGGAAGCAUCAGGUCACCCCGUGCCAGCAGUAGCGGUGAUACGGAGGGUGCGAGCGUUAAUCGGAAUCACUGGGCGUAAAGCGCGCGGAGGCGGCUUUUCAAGUGCAGCGGGAAAUUCCACGGCCCAACCGUGGAACUGCCAUUGAUACUGAUGAGCUUGAGUGGCAGAGAGGGAGGCGGAAUUCAAGGUGUAGGGGUGAAAUGCGUAGAUAUCUGGAGGAACACCGAUGGCGAAGGCGGCC